UACGUAGGGUGCAAGCGUUAUUCGGAAUUACUGGGCGUAAAGCGUGCGCAGGCGGUUUUGUAAGUCAGAUGUGAAAUCCCCGGGCUUAACCUGGGAACUGCGUUUGAAACUACAAGGCUAGAGUGUGGCAGAGGGGGGUGGAAUUCCACGUGUAGCAGUGAAAUGCGUAGAGAUGUGGAGGAACACCGAUGGCGAAGGCAGCCCCCUGGGUUAACACUGACGCUCAGGCACGAAAGCGUGGGGAGCAAACAGG
rnacentral:rRNA from 1 species